AAGCCAGACUGCAACCCUUCAAGGACGAGAAGGAGGUUAUUCUGGUUUCUGUUUAUUUUCUAUUUCUUAUGCCAUCAAUUUAAUGAUUUUCUUUUCAGCUAAGAUUCAAGCCAUCAAGAUUGCAAUCAAUAUAUCAGAAGCUUGUCAUUGGGAAGGUAACCAUAGCAACACAGAGGAGCACAGGAUGCUGCAUCCAAGCUACAUCUGUCUGCUACCAGGAGGAGACUCCUUCAUCACCACAUGCAAGUUUCUCAAAAGACUAUUUAACUACAGCCAGUGUAAUGAGCCCAGCUGCCGUGCCCUAGAUGGGCUGAAGAGUGCGACCAUCUCCCAGAGGAAAGAGGUGAAUCAGGCUGCAAUAAGCAGCACAAGUUCUAGCUCCAUAAGCAAUGUCAGGAAUAAAGUAAAAGGAGACGCUA